rnacentral:rRNA from 1 species
ACGGGUGAGUAACACGUGGAUAACCUACCUAUAAGACUGGGAUAACUUCGGGAAACCGGAGCUAAUACCGGAUAAUAUAUUGAACCGCAUGGUUCAAUAGUGAAAGACGGUUUUGCUGUCACUUAUAGAUGGAUCCGCGCCGCAUUAGCUAGUUGGUAAGGUAACGGCUUACCAAGGCAACGAUGCGUAGCCGACCUGAGAGGGUGAUCGGCCACACUGGAACUGAGACACGGUCCAGACUCCUACGGGAGGCAGCAGUAGGGAAUCUUCCGCAAUGGGCGAAAGCCUGACGGAGCAACGCCGCGUGAGUGAUGAAGGUCUUCGGAUCGUAAAACUCUGUUAUUAGGGAAGAACAAAUGUGUAAGUAACUAUGCACGUCUUGACGGUACCUAAUCAGAAAGCCACGGCUAACUACGUGCCAGCAGCCGCGGUAAUACGUAGGUGGCAAGCGUUAUCCGGAAUUAUUGGGCGUAAAGCGCGCGUAGGCGGUUUUUUAAGUCUG